UCCAGAUUUUUCCCCUCCCACCGACCUAACUUCCCGACGUCACUACCGCUUCGUCCGACCACCUAUGGCCAUAAAAUUGUACCUAUCUCUUCGUCUUGAAACAAGCUUUCCAUCAAUAUAUGCUUUGCAUCCUAUCAUGCACCAUAGACGACGAAUCGAAGCCAAGAAAUUUACUGUAGCAAAUUGGGUUUCUGGCUAUUUCUUCAAAUUCCGGUCAAGUCCGGCCAAAUCGGAUGUUGAGGCUAUCUGGGCUUUGUUCAUCUUGCCAUGCUCUACCAACCUACCAAGUUUCAUCAUCAAAUUUGAGCUGUGGAAGGAGAAUCGGAGAUUUGAGCAAAAUUGAGGGUUUUUUUUUCGGUUUUCAGUGGAUGAAAUUUGGUGGCCGGAGGAGGAGUUGGCUGCUCAUGAACAGUGUCGCGCGUGAACAGUGGUGGCUUGAACAGUAACUUAAAUUAUAUAUAUUUUUUGCUAAUUAAAUCACAUAAUUGAUGUAGAGUUUGUAUAUGUGAUUUUGGUAAAGAUUGGAGAAGUUUUGGAUUGA